rnacentral:tRNA from 1 species
UUAAUAGAAGCCAAAAAGAGGCUUAUUAUUGUUAAUAAUAGAAAUGAGGGAUCCUAUUAUU